rnacentral:rRNA from 1 species
UGAGGAAUAUUGGUCAAUGGGCGAGAGCCUGAACCAGCCACGUCGCGUGAAGGAAGACUGACCUUACGGUUUGUAAACUUCUUUUGUAGAGGGGUAAUGGCAGAUACGUGUAUUUGCGUGAAAGUACUCUACGAAUAAGCAUCGGCUAACUCCGUGCCAGCAGCCGCGGUAAUACGGGGGAUGCGAGCGUUAUCCGGAAUUAUUGGGUUUAAAGGGUGCGCAGGUGGCUAAUCAGGUCAGUGGUGAAAAGCUAUGGCUCAACCAUGGUCUUGCCAUUGAAACCGUAUAGCUAGAGAGGAGACGAGGUAGGCGGAAUGUGUGGUGUAGCGGUGAAAUGCAUAGAUAUCACACAGAACUCCGAUUGCGAAGGCAGCUUACCAGGCUUUAUCUGACACUUAGGCACGACUGCGUGGGGAUCAAACAGG